GAGUUUACGAUGUGAUUCUCAGAUUUUCUAAUAUCGUCUACAUGGAGUUUCUGGGAGGAAUUUAAUAAAGAACAGUGAGGAUUCAUUCCUUUCAUCUCCUAAGGGGCAGACUGUAAGCCCCACAAAGCAGACACGGACUUGUUCAACACUCCAUAUUGAGAACCCAGAAAAGGAGCACACAGAAGCUGGUGCAAAUGCAGCCCUGGGUACUUAACUCAGGCCUACAGAAAGCUGAACUGAUUGAGGAUCCAGCAGGACAUCAGACAGGAAUUGAAGGUAACCAUGAGGCACUGAAGUUUUUCAGUAAGAGAUCAGGAGCUGAUUUUUAUAUACGUUGUUGAGGACAAUGCACCCAACUUGGAAGAGUUUUAGAAAUGGACAGCAAGUCAGUGAAGCAACUGACCACCAAUUUGGAUGUGGAGAAGAACAGAAGCCGUGGUACUUUAAAGACUUGACUCUUUACAUUCACAAUCUUAGCUCCUUUGGAGUCUAAAGAAUCCUGGUCCAAGUUAACAGUUUUUCAGAGCUGACUGGGGGGAAAAAAAUCUCAGAAUAAAACAUAUCCCAGUUGUCUAACGUUUAUUGUGGACAGUUCUAAAAUUCUCCUUAA